GACGAACGCUGGCGGCGUGCUUAACACAUGCAAGUCGAACGGAAAGGCCUGCUUUCCCUUGUGGAUUGCGGGUACUCGAGUGGCGAACGGGUGAGUAACACGUGAGUGAUCUGCCCCCAACUUGGGUAUAAGCCUGGGAAACUGGGUCUAAUUCCCGAUAGGACUGCAGGGUGGUGCCUGUGGUUGAAAACGAUUUUCUAGUGGUUGGGGAUGAGCUCGCGGCCUAUCAGCUUGUUGGUGGGGUAAUGGCCUACCAAGGCGGCGACGGGUAGCCGGCCCGGGAGGGUGGACGGCCACAUUGGGACUGAGAUACGGCCCAGACUCCUACGGGAGGCAGCAGUGGGGAAUAUUGCACAAUGGGCGGAAGCCUGAUGCAGCGACGCCGCGUGGGGGAUGACGGCCUUCGGGUUGUAAACUCCUUUCGACCGCGAGGAAGCCACCUGGUUGGAAGGGUGGUGACGGUAGUGGUAGAAGAAGCACCGGCUAACUACGUG
rnacentral:rRNA from 1 species